rnacentral:miRNA from 1 species
AUAUAUCUCACUGAGGAUCUUGUUUAAAUUCAGAGUCUGAUUUUAUUGAUUGUAUUUUAUUAGGUAAGGGUUGAGAUUCUACAAUUCCUUUUUUCCCACCACUUUUGGUUUUUAUUAAUACAUCAUAUAUGUACAUAGAGAUUCUGCAAUUCCAACAAGAUCCCAAGUGUUAUUAAU